rnacentral:lncRNA from 1 species
CAUCACAAGGUAAUGCUUUAAAAUAAAGAACAUUAUUAAAGAAAGCAUUAGUCGAACCAACUUCAUUAUCAAAUGAAAAGGUGAAACCUUGUUUAUACAAUGCAUGAAAGGAAAUAAUAUUUCUUGUCAUUGCUGGCGAAUAACAACAUUUAUUCAAAUCUAAACUAAACCCACUACUUACCAGUCCACAUCUCGUGAGGAGUUUUGGCAACUUUCUUUGUAGGGACUAGAUUAAGAAUAUGGGCGGCAGUCUCUAGGGCAUACCCCCAGAAUGAGAUUGGUAGCGUAGCUUGACUCAUCAUGGAACGAACCAUAUCCAACAAGGUUCGAUUACGCCUCUCAGCCACACCAUUCAUCUGUGGUGUCCUGGGAGGUGUCAAUUGUGAGACUAUCCCACAUUCCCUUAGAUAGUCGAGGAACUCUGAACUAAGAUACUCACCACCACGAUCGGAUCGAAGCAUCUUAAUGUUCCUGCCCAAUUGAUUCUCGACUUCCUGUUUAAAUUCCUUAAACCUCUCGAAAGUCUCUGACUUAUGCUUGAUCAAGUAGACAUAUCCAUAUCUACUAUAAUCAUCAGUAAAAGUCAAAUAAUAACGAUUAGCAUCCCUUGUGGCAUGUUUGAAUGGUCCACACACAUCCGUGUGUAUAAGGUCCAACAAACCUUCACCCCUCUCACACGAACCUGUGAAGGGUGACUUUGUCAUUUUUCCAAGUAAGCAUGAUUCGCAACUAUCAUCUGACUUUAGGUCAAACGACUCCAAGACUCCAUCCUUUUGGAGUUGGCCUAUGCGUUUCUUGCUUAUAUGUCCAAGACGACAAUGCCAUAAAGAUGCUUUAUCCAAGUUAUUAUUAGUAGAAUCAAUACACAAAACAUUAUUUCCCAAGUUAUCUACAACAGAUACAGCUUCAUACACACCAUCACAAGGUAAUGCUUUAAAAUAAAAGACAUUAUUAUAGAAAACAUCUAUAGAACCAACUUCAUUAUUAAAUGAAAAGGUAAACCCUUGUUUGUACAAAGCAUGAAAGGAAAUAAUAUUUCUUGCCAUUCCUGGCGAAUAACAACACUUAUUCAAAUCUAAACUAAACCCACUACUUAGCGAUAAAGUAUAAACUCCAAUCUUGGUGACAGGUAAACCAUUCCCAUUCCUUAUGAUUAAGUUUAUUCUUCCAUGCUCCACAUUCUCACUUCUUCUUAGUCCCUGCAAAUCAGAACAUAUAUGAAUACCACAACUGGUAUGAAGGACCCAAUAGUUAGCAUUGGGUGAGUUAUUAGAUAAGAUAGUGUAGAUACCUGCAUGGUUUGGUUUUACUUUCCCAUCCUUCACAUCUUUCUGGUACUUUGGGCGGUUCCGCUUCCAAUGUGACUUUUCGUGAAGACGAUGUAGUGACGAAAACUUUCUUGGUUCCACUUGAAGAAGAGCCACCAAGGGUCCUAGCCUUGGUACCCUUCGGAGAGCUCUUUCUCUUCUUCCCUCUACCUUUCCUGAUUUCCAAGACAGGGGCAGAGUUUGGAGUAGGAGUGUUAACAGCUGACUUACCUUUAAGACCUGUUUCUACGGUCUUGAGGAGUCCCUGAAGUUUGCUGAGUGUGACCUCUUCCUUAUUCAUGUGAUUUGUCAUGCGGAAUUGAUACUAGGACGAGGGUAAGGAGUGCAAAAUGAUAUCUAUUUCAAGCUCCUCAGGGAAGUUCACAUUAAGCUUCACCAAACGAUCGAAAUACCUUUGCAUUUUCUGCAUGUGACUCGUGACGGAUUCUUCGUCCUUCAUCAUGGUUGUUAUGAUGGAGCAGAUGAUUUCAUACCUCUCUUGUCGUGCACUUUGAUGGUAUCUUUCCAUCAGAUCUGGGUGCAUUUCAAAAGGGUAGAAGUCCUCAUACGACUUUUGGAGUUCUGUUGUCAUGGUGGCCAACAUGAUGCAUGCCACUUUGGUAGAAUCCAUUUCAUGUGCCCGGAAGUCAGUGAUCUCCUGGUAAGUUGCAGUGGUCUCAUCAAUAUGCUUAAGCUCCUUAUCAAGGACAUAUUCUUUGUCCUCGUAGCGGGUAAUCAUCCUGAUGUUUCUGAUCCAUUCAUUGAAGUUGGAUCCAUCAAAGUGACUUUCCCACACAAGUUCAUAAGGGUAAAGGAGCCAUUAGGAUUAGAGCCAGAAGCAGCAUUGUUUGAAGACAUCUGAAAGAAGAGGACUAGUUAGUUUAGAUAUUAAGAGAGUCCUUAAUAAGAUACCUAAAUGUAAUAUUAAGGCAAGGAUCCAAUCAGAAUAUAUUAUAACUUUUCAAAGGCAUGUUUCAAUCUCGAGUGUGCCCUCCAAGUUUUGUGACUGGGAUACCGACGAUCACAAAACGAGUUGUGAAGUAACCAUGCAAAUCACUUGGUACCCUUAAAUUUUAUCACUCAAUCGAUGUGUCGAUAAGCCACACACGCUCCACCGAUACUAUGAUAAACCUUAAGUCACCCUUUACCUACCUUGUUAAGUCCAAGUUAGUGUGCCGGUUAACCACACACGCUCCACCAACGACUUAAACAAAGUGUAAAGUGUAAUUUCAUGGAUUAGCAUGUUAUUCACAUUUUUCCUAAAGUAACUAAUAUUGGGAAUUUAAUAAAAGAAUUUAGUUGCUUUAUAAUAUUCAUCAUACUUUUAAUGAGAAUUUAUAAGUCCUUGUCCUACCCAUUCGGCUAACGACCCUUCACCGAUCAAGGAAGCGGUGGGUGAGAGUGGACACCCAUUAAGUUGCCAUUUUAUAAGCAACAACCUUAUACCCCCAUAUAGAUCGGCUUCGUGAAAGAGGCGUACUAGCGGUAAGACGGCUUGAUCUUAUACAUAUAUAUAUAUAUAUAUAUAUAUAUANNNNNNNNNNNNAUAUAUAUAUAUAUAUAUAUAUAUAUAUUAUUCACUUAUAAUAUUAUAAGUGUAAGGGUUGAUUUUUAACUUUUAAAAAUCUAAGGGUUGGAACUAUAGUUUAUUAAGUGACUUUACUGGCUCCAAAACUUGAGGGCAAGUUUUGUAACUUUACGAAACCUUUCAUAUUCAUAACAUAUGAGUUAUUAAAAUGAAGACUCUUCAUUUUAUAACUUAUGUGUUCUUUUAAUGGCUUUUAACACAAAGAUACUUUUGGUUAUCCAUAACAUGAGGACAAGUUAUGGACUUCAUUAAAACACAUGAAGAUCGUGAAUUAAUCAUAUAAACAAGUAACUCCUAUGAUCUAUCAAGAACUCAUAAGAACAUGAAUAUUCAUAUCAACAUUUUAAGAACAUAUGAACACAUAUAAUCAUGAUAAAUUGAUAUUAGCCAUUGUAAAUGGAUUAGAACAACCAUUACUCCAUCUAAAACAAGUUUUAUAACACCAAAACAGUUUAGGGUAAUGUUUCUAGUCCAUUUCCAACAACACAAAUCGAAUUUCUACAUUCUACGUGGCCAAGUCGUUGAGUGCACGAACAGACUCGCCGAAUUGGGCCGGUUAACCACACACGCUCCAUCGAUACUAUGAUAAACAUUAAGUUACCCUUUGCCUACCUUGCUAAAUACGAGUUAGUGUGCCGGUUAACCACACACGCUCCACUAACCGACUUAAACAAAGUGCAAAGUGUAAUUUCAUGGAUUAGCACCUUAUUCACAUUUUCCUAAGUAACUAAGAUUGGGUAUNCUAAGAAACUAGGAUUGGGUAUUUAUAAAAGGUUUAGUUAUUUAGUAUUUAUCAUUAUUACUUUUAAUGAAGGGAGAAUUAUAGUCCUUGUCAUACCCGUCCGGCUAACGACCCUGCACCGAUCAAGGAAGCGGUGGGUGAGAGUGGACACCCAUUAAAAUGUCAUUUUAUAGGCAGUAACCUUAUACCCCCCUUAUAGACCAACUUCGUGAAUAAGGCAUACUAACAGUAAAACUGACUUUGUUCUUAUACGUAUAUAAGUAUUAACUAUUAAUAUUAUAAUAGUAUAAGGGUUUAUUUUAAACAUUUAAAAUACAUGGUCGUUUAAUCUAUUGAUUAAACUAUACUCUUAAUUUAAUUAAACUUAAACCAUGUCUUUAUGAAAUUAUUAACUCUUUUAAAUAGACAAUAUAAUUAAUUUAAUGAAGUCCAUAAAGUUUGAAGAUUAAGUUUUUAAAAUUCUUGGGUUUGUAAUUAAAGUGUAUAUGGGGUAAGACUUACAAAUUCCAAAACAUGAGGACAAGUUUUGAACAAUUCAAAAAACUUAUGGUUUCUAUAACUUAUGAAUUUUAAAGUGGUUUAAUGGAAAAAACUGAUGGGUUUUGAGCAUUCUAACACUUCCUAAGUGUACAUUCAAACCUAAUAACCUUGGAUCUAUGUUUGUCUAAUUAUCAUGAAAGGUUGAAUUCUAAGGUUAUAUUCCUAUCUAGCAUACAUGGGGAACAAUUUUUAACUUGAAUGAAAGAUAGAAUAACUUACCUUGUUGUUGCUUAUGUUCCUUGAAACCUUGUGAGGCUAGCACCCCAAGUGUGAUGCCUCAAAUGCUUCACAUAACACCAAAUGCUCUUGGAAAGACUUUUGAGAGAAUACACACUUCUUAAAAUUAGCCUAGCCCUCUUGUUUCAUAUGUCCAACCAAAUUUGGUGGAGAAUGGAACAAUUAUAUAGUGUUGAAACAUCUAGCAUUACACCAUGUAAACCCUAAUGUGUCAUGACUCUUCAUUUCCAUGACCCAUGGGUUUGUAACUCCCAUGGAGCAUCCUAUGGGUGGAACCCAACUUGAUAAUCCAUGGAGCCUCUUAGUCCACUAUACAAUAUAUGGAUGAUUUACAUAAUCAACCCAUAUAUUUAAUUAGUUAUCUUUUGAUCACUUAAUUAAUUCUAAAUUAAUUCUUGAUCAAACUAAUCAAAUAAUAUUAUUAAUAUAUUAGAACUUAUAAUAUAUUAAUAAUCUCCAAGUGUUAUUUCUCUCAUUUAGUCUAUCCAAUUGCAUGGUGCCAUGCAACCCAAAUGGACCAUGUCAGGUCGGGUCAAGUACUUACCAGAAAUAGUUAUGGACUUAGACACCUUAUCCAACAAAAAGCCUUCAAGUUCCAUAACUUGUAGACAAGUAAUGGAAGACUUUAAAAGCAUUAAAAAAUGUGACUCUUCAUUUUCUCAUAACUUAUGGAAAUUUUAUGAGUUUUAAAAUUCAUAAAUGUGACUUUUCAUGUAUCUUGAGGACAAGUUACAAAAACACAUAUUAUGAACAACUUCAAGAUUAAUUUGGAUUGAAAACAACUUUCUCAUAUUUUUUCCUAUUAAUCUAAACAAACUCAUAUACAUAAACAUUCAUAAUCAACAUUUUUCAAGCAUCAUAUAUGAUAUUACCGUCUCACAAUCACUCGAGAUAAAUUCCAUGAAGUGAUUCCAGUGAGCGUGGGUUGAGUCCAAUGCUCAAUACUAAUGAGCACUCAUGAUUGUUGUAGCCAUGUCCAACACCUUAGACCUCUGCACCCAAUCAUGGCAGUCUUGAUUCAUACCUACUUCCGACAUAUGACCGACUGUGGAGGUUUGAAUAAUAUGAUAUGCCAAACAUAAUUAGUCUGGAAGUCAAAACAUGCAAAAGAAACAUAGUAAACGAUCGACAAGAGAUAGCAACACUUUACUCAUAAAUAAAACACCUUUUAUUCAUCAUCUAAUGUCAAUUACACUUUACAAAUUUCGAGGUUAUCUAACUGCUAAAUCUAAUAUCAUGCUUCAGCCCUAUCCUCCGAGCAUGCUAGAGAUGCUUAACCCGAGUUAGUCCCUUCGUGAGGGGAUCUGCUGGGUUCUCAUCCGAUGAUACCCUCUUUGCCACGAGGAGUCCUUCUUCUAUCCAAUGUCUGAUAAAAUGGUAUUUUCUGUUGAUGUGUCUGGAUCUCCCGUGAUCCCUUGGUUCCUUGGCUAAGGCAACAGCACUUUCACUAUCACAGAAAAUUUCCAUUGGCUCUUUANUCUAUUACACCUCCAAGUUCUCCAAUGAAGUUCUUCAGUCAUAUCGCCUCCUUUGCUUCCUCGCUAGCUGCAAUAUACUAUGAUUCACAAGUUGAAUCGGCCACUGUUUCUUGCUUGGAACUCUUCCAAGAAAUUGCUCCUCCGUUUAGGGUAAAUACCCAGCCUGACUGAGAGCGAAAAUUAUCCCUAUCAGUCUGAAAGCUAGCAUCACUAUACCCUACAACCCUCAAGUGAGCACUCCCACCGAAGGUAAGGACCCAGUCCUUAGUUCUCCGUAGGUACUUGAGGAUAUUCUUUACCGCAGUCCAAUGUGCCUUGCCAGGGUUCCCCUGAUACCUGCUAACCAUGCUCAGGGCAAAGGCUACAUCAGGUCGAGUACACGUCAUAGCAUACAUGAUCGAUCCUACAGCCGAAGCAUAAAGUAUUUGACUCAUUUCUGCUAUCUCAACCUCAGUGCUAAGGCUUUGUGUCUUACUCAAUAUAGCGUUACUCUGGAUGGGCAACUCUCCUUUUUUGGAGUCCUGCAUGCUGAAUCUCUUCAGCGCCUUAUCCAAGUAGGUACUCUGACUAAGUCCAUUUAGUCUUUUACUCCGGUCUGUCAAGAUCCUUAUCCCUAGAAUAUAGGCAGCUUCUCCUAGGUCCUUCAUAGAGAAACACUUCCCAAGCCAGGACUUAACUUCCUGCAGAGUUGGGAUGUCAUUUCCUAUGAGUAGUAUGUCAUCCACAUACAAUACNAUGUCGUUUCCUAUGAGUAGUAUGUCAUCCACAUACAAUACCAAAAAGCUAACUAUACUCCCACUAGCCUUGACAUACACACAAGAUUCAUCUUCACUCCUAGAAAAGCCAAAUUCCUUGACCUUCUCAUCAAAGCAAAGAUUCCAUCUGUGAGGUGCUUGCUUUAAUCCAUAAAUGGAUUUCUCAAGCUUACACACUCUAUUAGGGUACUCGUUGCUGACAAAACCUUCUGGCUGACUCAUGUAAACAUCUUCAGCCAAAUUUCAAUUAAGGAAAGCGGUUUUGACAUCUAUUUGCCAUAUUUCAUAGUCAUGAAAUGCAGCUAUGGCUAACAGAACCCUAAUAGACUUAAUCUUGGCCACUGGAGAAAAGGUCUCAUCAUAAUCAACUCUUGGAGUUUGUGAGAAUCCCUUUGCAACCAGUCGAGCCUUAUAAGUGUGUACUUUACCAUCCAUUUUGGUCUUAUUCUUGAAGAUCCAUUUGCACCCUACUGUCUCACGACCUGGUACAUUCACAACCAAGUUCCAAACUUGAUUGUCAUACAUGGACUGUAUCUCGCUGUCCAUUGCCUCUUUCCACUUGGCUGACUCACGGCCUGCCAUGGCUUGCACGUAACUGUUAGGUUCAUACAGACCUAUCAGUUUCUCAUCACUGAUAAGUGUAUCACCUUCUACAGUAAUAUGGAAUCCAUAGUAAUGCUCAGGUGCAUUCCUAACCCUUGUGGAACGCCUCAAAGGUAUAGACUUGUCAAUUGCCUCAACAUGAGUUUCCUCCUCAAGUUGAGUGCUAGGGUUUGAAGUUCCUUCACCACUUGACUCUUGAAUUUCUUCAAGAUCAACUUGCCUCCCACUGUCUCCAUGGCUUAUAAACUCUCCCUCUCUCUAAAGAAAGCCCUCCAAGCUACACAGACCACAUUUUCACUGUCUCCAUGGCUUAUAAACUCUCCCUCUCUCUAAAGAAAGCCCUCCAAGUAACUGUUAGGUUCAUACAGACCUAUCAGUUUCUCAUCACUGAUAAGUGUAUCACCUUCUACAGUAAUAUGGAAUCCAUAGUAAUGCUCAGGUGCAUUCCUAACCCUUGUGGAACGCCUCAAAGUUAUAGACUUGUCAAUUGGCUCAACAUGAGUUUCCUCCUCAAGUUGAGUGCUAGGGUUUGAAGUUCCUUCACCACUUGACUCUUGAAUUUCUUCAAGAUCAACUUGCGUCCCACUGUCUCCAUGGCUUAUAAACUCUCCCUCUCUCUAAAGAAAGCCCUCCAAGCUACACAGACCACAUUUUCACUAGGUCUGUAGAAGAGGUACCAAAGGAUUGUUGUGGGUAGCCGAUGAAAAUACACCUCUUGCUUUGAGGUUCGAGCUUAUCAUGAGUCUCGUGUCUCACAAAAGCCUCGUAACCCCAAAUCUUAAUGUGGUCUAGUUUGGGUAAUUUACCAGUCCACAUCUCAUGAGGAGUUUUGGCAACUUUCUUUGUAGGUGCUAGAUUAAGGAUAUGGGCAGCAGUCUCUAAGGCAUACCCACAGAAUGAGAUUGGUAGCGAAGCUCGACUCAUCAUGGAACGAACCAUAUCCAACAAGGUUCGAUUACGCCUCUCAGGCACACCAUUCAACUGUGGUGUCCUGGGAGGUGUCAAUUGUGAAACAAUCCCACAUUCCCUAAGAUAGUGGAGGAACUCUGAACUAAGAUAGUCACCACCUCGAUCUGAUCAAAGCAUCUUAAUGUUCCUGCCCAAUUGAUUCUUGACUUCCUGUUUAAACUCUUUAAACCUUUCAAAAGUCACUUACUUAUGCUUGAUUAAGUAGACAUAUCCAUAUCUACUCAAAUCAUCAGUGAAAGUCAAAUAAUAACGGUUUGCAUCACCUGUGGCAUGUUUGAAGGGCCCACACACAUCCGUGUGUACAAGAUCCAACAAACCUUCACCCCUCUCACAUGAACCUGUGAAGGGUGACUUUGUCAUUUUUCCAUGUAAGCAUGAUUCGCAACUAUCAUCUGACUUUAGGUCAAAUGACUCCAAGACUCCAUCCUUUUGGAGUUGACCUAUGUGUUUCUUGCUAAUAUGUCCAAGAUGACAAUGCCAUAAUGAUGCUUUAUCCAAGUCAUUAUUAAUAGAAUCAAUACACAAUACAUUAUUUCCUAAGUUAUCAACCACAGAUACUGUUUCAUGCACGCCAUCACAAGGUAAUGCUUUAAAAUAAGGAACAUUAUUAAAGAAAGCAUUAAUAGAACCAACUUCAUUAUGAAAUGAAAAGGUGAAACCUUGUUUGUACAAUGCAUGAAGGGAAAUAAUAUUUCUUGCCAUUUCUGGCGAAUAACAACAUUUAUUCAAAUCUAAAUUUAAUCCACUACUUAGCGAUAAAGUAUAAACUCCAAUCUUGGUGACAGGUGUAACUUUCCUAUUCCCCAUGAUUAAGUUUAUUCUUCCUUGCUCCACAUUCUCACUUCUUCCUAGUCCCUGCAAGUCACAACAAAUAUGAAUUCCGCAACCUGUAUCAAGGACCCAAGAUUUCGAAUGGGGUGAGUUAUUAGAAAUGAUAGUGUAAAUACCUGCAUGGUUGGGUUUGACUUUCCCAUCCUUUACAUCUUGCUGGUACUUUGGGCAGUUCCGCUUCCAAUGAGCUUUUUCGUGGCAAUAGAAGCAUUCAGCCUCUUUUGGGUCAGAAGAAGGAGUGACGAAACCUUUCAUGGUUCCACUUGAAGAAGAGCCAUCAAGGGUCCUAGCCUUGGUAUCCUUCGAAGAGCUCUUUCUCUUCUUCCCUCGAAUUUUCCUGUUUGCCAAAACCGGAGCGAAGUUUGGAGUCGGAGUGUUAACAACCGACUUCCCCUUAAGACCUGUUUCUGCUGUCUUGAGAAGACCCUCCCUGAAGUUUGCUGAUUGUGACCUCUUCCUUAUUCACGUGAUAUGUCAUGCGAAAUUGAUCAUAGCACGAUGGUAAGGAGUGCAAAAUGAUAUCUAUUGCAAGCUCCUCAGGGAACUUCACAUUAAGCUUCAGCAACCGAUCCACAUACCUUUGCAUUUUCUACAUGUGGCUUGUGACGGAUUCCCCGUCCUUCAUCAUGGUUGUUAUCAUGGAGCAGAUGAUUUCAUACCUCUCUUGUCAUGCACUUUGAUGGUAUCUUUCCAUCAAAUCUUAGUGCAUUUCAAAAGGGUAGAAGUCCUCAUAGGACUUUUGAAGUUCCGCUGUCAUCGUGGCCAUCAUGAUGCAUGCCACUUUGGUAGCAUCCCUUUCAUGUUCCUGGAAGUCAACGAUCUCCUGGGGAGUUGCAGUGGUCUCAUCAAUCUCCUUAAGCUCCUUGUCGAGGACAUAUUCUUUGUCCUCGUAGCGGGUAAUCAUCCUGAUGUUUCUGAUCCACUCAUUGAAGUUGGAUCCAUCAAAGGUGACUUUCCCACACAAGUUCAU